rnacentral:misc_RNA from 1 species
GAUGAAGAACGUAGCGAAAUGCGAUACGUAAUGUGAAUUGCAGAGUUCAGUGAAUCAUCGAGUCUUUGAACGCACAUUGCGCCCCCUGGUAUUCCGGGGGGCAUGCCUGUCCGAGCGUCAUUGCUGCCCUCAAGCACGGCUUGUGUGUUGGGCCUCCGUCCUCCUCCCGGGGGACGGGCCCGAAAGGCAGCGGCGGCACCGCGUCCGGUCCUCGAGCGUAUGGGGCUUCGUCACCCGCUCUUGUAGGCCCGGCCGGCGCUUGCCGACACAUCAAUCUUUUUUCCAGGUUGACCUCGGAUCAGGUAGGGAUCCCCGCUGAACUUAAGCAUAUCAAUAAGCGGAGGA